rnacentral:rRNA from 1 species
UACGUAGGGUGCAAGCGUUAAUCGGAAUUACUGGGCGUAAAGCGUGCGCAGGCGGUUGUGCAAGACAGAUGUGAAAUCCCCGGGCUCAACCUGGGAAUUGCAUUUGUGACUGCACGGCUAGAGUGUGUCAGAGGGGGGUAGAAUUCCACGUGUAGCAGUGAAAUGCGUAGAGAUGUGGAGGAAUACCGAUGGCGAAGGCAGCCCCCUGGGAUAACACUGACGCUCAUGCACGAAAGCGUGGGGAG